UACGUAGGGGGCUAGCGUUGUCCGGAUUUAUUGGGCGUAAAGAGCUCGUAGGUGGUCCGGUAAGUCGGAUGUGAAAUCUCCAGGCUCAACCUGGAGGGGUCAUUCGAUACUGCCGUGACUAGAGUUCGGUAGAGGAGUGUGGAAUUCCUGGUGGAGCGGUGAAAUGCGCAGAGAUCAGGAGGAACACCCGUAGCGAAGGCGGCACUCUGGGCCGAUACUGACACUGAGGAGCGAAAGCGUGGGGAGCGAACAGG
rnacentral:rRNA from 1 species